UACUAGGGUGCCAUGUCUCGUCUUUUAUCUUAGUGGGAGUCGUAAACCCUAAUCGGAAAGCAGUGCUUUUUAUUUUUGUUUCUCCGAUCCUAGAAAAUGGCAUUUUCCUCAGCUUUUCGCGGUAUAUUGGGAGGACAUUUGAUGCCUUCAUCAAUCUUUCAAUCUCAAUGUGCUUCGCUAAGGUUCUGUUCAACCCUUACUACCUCAAAGCUCUUCGUCAGUGGCCUUUCAAGAUACACUUCAGAUGAAGGCCUUAAUAAAGCAUUUGAGCAAUUUGGGAAACUUGUUGAGGCAAAAGUCAUUACA